rnacentral:rRNA from 1 species
CGGCGUGCUUAACACAUGCAAGUCGAACGGAAAGGCCCUGCUUUUGUGGGGUGCUCGAGUGGCGAACGGGUGAGUAACACGUGAGUAACCUGCCCUUGACUUUGGGAUAACUUCAGGAAACUGGGGCUAAUACCGGAUAGGAGCUCCUGCUGCAUGGUGGGGGUUGGAAAGUUUCGGCGGUUGGGGAUGGACUCGCGGCUUAUCAGCUUGUUGGUGGGGUAGUGGCUUACCAAGGCUUUGACGGGUAGCCGGCCUGAGAGGGUGACCGGCCACAUUGGGACUGAGAUACGGCCCAGACUCCUACGGGAGGCAGCAGUGGGGAAUAUUGCACAAUGGGCGGAAGCCUGAUGCAGCAACGCCGCGUGCGGGAUGACGGCCUUCGGGUUGUAAACCGCUUUCGCCUGUGACGAAGCGUGAGUGACGGUAAUGGGUAAAGAAGCACCGGCUAACUACGUGCCAGCAGCCGCGGUGAUACGUAGGGUGCGAGCGUUGUCCGGAUUUACUGGGCGUAAAGGGCUCGUAGGUGGUUGAUCGCGUCGGAAGUGUAAUCUUGGGGCUUAACCCUGAGCGUGCUUUCGAUACGGGUUGACUUGAGGAAGGUAGGGGAGAAUGGAAUUCCUGGUGGAGCGAUGGAAUGCGCAGAUAUCAGGAGGAACACCAGUGGCGAAGGCGGUUCUCUGGGCCUUUCCUGACGCUGAGGAGCGAAAGCGUGGGGAGCGAACAGGCUUAGAUACCCUGGUAGUCCACGCUGUAAACGGUGGGUACUAGGUGUGGGGUCCAUUCCACGGGUUCCGUGCCGUAGCUAACGCUUUAAGUACCCCGCCUGGGGAGUACGGCCGCAAGGCUAAAACUCAAAGGAAUUGACGGGGCCCCGCACAAGCGGCGGAGCAUGCGGAUUAAUUCGAUGCAACGCGUAGUACCUUACCUGGGUUUGACAUGGAUCGGGAGUGCUCAGAGAUGGGUGUGCCUCUUUUGGGGUCGGUUCACAGGUGGUGCAUGGCUGUCGUCAGCUCGUGUCGUGAGAUGUUGGGUUAAGUCCCGCAACGAGCGCAACCCUUGUUCACUGUUGCCAGCACGUUAUGGUGGGGACUCAGUGGAGACCGCCGGGGUCAACUCGGAGGAAGGUGGGGAUGACGUCAAGUCAUCAUGCCCCUUAUGUCCAGGGCUUCACGCAUGCUACAAUGGCUGGUACAGAGAGUGGCGAGCCUGUGAGGGUGAGCGAAUCUCGGAAAGCCGGUCUCAGUUCGGAUUGGGGUCUGCAACUCGACCUCAUGAAGUCGGAGUCGCUAGUAAUCGCAGAUCAGCAACGCUGCGGUGAAUACGUUCCCGGGGCUUGUACACACCGCCCGUCAAGUCAUGAAAGUUGGUAACACCCGAAGCCGGUGGCCUAACCGUUGUGGGGGAGCCGUCGAAGGUGGGACUGGUGAUUAGGACUAAGAC